rnacentral:rRNA from 1 species
UACACGCUGUGACUAGCAUAUCAAUAAGCGGAGGAAAAGAAACUAACAAGGAUUCCCCUAGUAACGGCGAGUGAAGCGGGAAGAGCUCAAAUUUGAAAUCUUAAAGGGUUUCCCUUUACGAAUUGUAGUUUAAAGAAGUGUUUUCUGUUGAGGUUUUGGUAAAAGUUCUUUGGAAUAGGACAUCAUAGAGGGUGAGAAUCCCGUAUUUGACCUUUACUUUCAACUUUGUGAUACACUUUCAAAGAGUCGGAUUGUUUGGGAAUGCAGUCCAAAAUGGGUGGUAAAUUUCAUCUAAAGCUAAAUAUUGGCGAGAGACCGAUAGCGAACAAGUACCGUGAGGGAAAGAUGAAAAGAACCUUGAAAAGAGAGUUAAACAGUACGUGAAAUUGUCAAAAGGGAAGCGUUUGACACCAGUGUUGUUUUAUCUGAAAAUCAAUUAAAGAACUGUUUAUGCUAAGUUGUUUAGACUUUAUCAGCUAUCUGUUUAGUUUUGAGCUUUUCUUUAAUGCACUUUUCAGUUAACAAGUCAACAUCAAUUUCUUUUGCUGUAAAAAAGCUUGAGGAAGGUGGCUUGAGAUUCGUCUUAAGUGUUUAUAGCCUCUUGCCUAUGCAGUCGGAGAGAUUGAGGUCUGCAGCGUAGAUCCUUCGGGGCUAAAUGCAUUUGUGCUAAGUUAUAGCAUUUUAUAGACAACUUGCUGACUAUGAUUUGUCUUGUAGCUUACUCGCUUAUGUUAUUUUACCUACGCUUAGGAUGUUAAAGAUGUAGCACAUCAU